AGACGACAAGUGACUUGGUUUUGUGUUACAACAACAGUCUAAAAGAAACGAAUGAGGAGAACAUAUUUUUACUUUGGGAAUUUACAUAAAAAGAAAAUAUGUUAUAUAUAGCUUUUCUAAUAUAACAAAACAUUAUUAAAAGUACUUGAUAACCAUUAAGAACAAUAUCAUUUUGCAAUAUGCGACCUAUUCCUAUAGAAAUUGGAUUUAAUCGCAAGCUUUCCUUGAUGACAGCUUUGGUAUACGAAGCAUUUCGCAACACACCUGCUGUUAUUGGUUGACUAUGAUCAGCUAAAAACUGUGUGGCUUCAAUUCUCAAUUUUUCUUGAAUAUCUUGAUGUCUUGCCAGGUGAUACAAGGCAAAAGCAGUACUUAUCUAUACCAGCAAGUAACAUGUCACAAGCCAUGCCCACAAUAUCCUUAAUAUCCAGAGCAGGAUUUUCUAAAUACGCAUUUAAGAAUGAUUUGUUAUGUCCAGUUUUCGUGCUCUGUUUUUUCUGAGAUACCAAUUCUAAUGCAACCCUGAUACAUUAAAAAGACAUAACAUAUGAGGUACAGCAUUUAAAAAUAAGCUAAUUAUAAUGUACAGAAUGAAAUAUUUAGAUUGCUUGAGCUUUCAUUGAGUUAAGCUGAUUGAUACAAAAUCAUAUUAAUACACACACAUUUCUGUCUACUUAUGACAAAUAUUGUUAACGUGCCGUUAAUAAUUAUUUUAAGCAUAUGAAAUCCUUCUGUACUUUUCUUAUUGUAGAACUUACAAUAUAAUGAUAAUAAAUUAUACAAAUUA